rnacentral:lncRNA from 1 species
GGGGUGUGGCAGCCUUCCUGCCUCUGCACCAGCUCCUGCCCCUGAGGGAAGAUUCCUCCUCAGCCGCUGCUCAGGCGUCACUUCCUCCGGACCCUUCCGGGCUGGGAGGGCAAGGUCAGGCCCGACACUCUUGCUCAGCGCCUGAGGGCUUCCUCUCCUGUAACCUGUUCCCUACUCACUCCCACUGUUCUCCGGGCUUUACCUGGCGCUGAGUAGGUGCACUAUGUGUGAACGAGCCCUGCAGGGGCCCUGCAUCAGGGAGACACCUGCCUCCCCACUGCAGGUGCCCAUGGCCCCAGGAAGGUGUCUCCUCCUUCUCCACGCAUUUCAUGUGCAGGAUGACUGCGUCACUGACAAGCUGCGUCCUCUAGAACAUCCACAUCCUGAGGACGGGGAUCUCUGCCUGUUCCCUGAACUGUUGUGUCCCCUGCAGGGCCUGGCCCAUAGCAGGUGCUUAAUUAGUAUCUGCAGAAGAAAGGACGGAAGGAAGGGAGAGAGAGAGGGAGGAAGGAGGAAGGAAGGAAGGAAGGAGGGAGGGAGGGAGGGAGGGAGGGAAGGAGGAAGGAGGAAGGAAGGAAGGGAGAGAGAGAGGAGAGAGAGAGGAGGAAAGGAGGGAGGGAGGGAGGGAAGCAGGGAGGGAGGGAGGGAAGGAGGAAGGAAGGAAGGAAGGAAGGAAGGAAGGAGGGGAGGGAGAGAGAGAGGGAGGAAAGGAGGGAGGGAGGGAGGGAAGGAGGAAGGAAGGAUGAAGGAAGGAAGGAAGGAAGGAAGGAAGGGAGAGAGAGAGGAGGAAAGGAGGGAGGGAGGGAGGGAAGCAGGGAGGGAGGGAGGGAAGGAGGAAGGAAGGAAGGAAGGAAGGGAGGGAGAGAGAGAGGGAGGAAAGGAGGGAGGGAGGGAAGCAGGGAGGGAGGGAGGGAAGGAGGAAGGAGGAAGGAAGGAAGGAGGGAGGGAAGAGAGGGAGAGAAGGAGGGAGGAUUCACGUAUCUUGCUUUUCAUUUGUUCAUUCGGCAAAUGCUCAUUGAGUGCCACCUGCUCACUAGUCUGGGGACAGAGCAUGACCAACACAGACACGAUUCCUGCCCUCCAGGCGCUUUCUGGUCACUGCAAACAGUUGUGAUGUCGGGUGGUAAAAAGCGCUAUGGGCAAAGGGAAAGCCGGAGGGGCAGCAGGGAGGGUGUCUGGGCUACUCCGCGGGCUGCCCGGAGGAGGCGGCAGCCGGCAGAGGCAGACGCGGGCCCUGAGUCCCUGCCCCCAGCGGGCAGACGUGGGGCUGUCGUAACUGUGGGCAGCCAGGGUUGCCAAAUGUCACCACAGCCGCGUCACUGA